CCUACGGGUGGCAGCAGUGGGGAAUAUUGGUCAAUGGACGAAAGUCUGAUCCAGCCAAGUCGCGUGAAUGAUGACUGCCCUAUGGGUUGUAAACUUCUUUUAUAUGGGAAUAAAACGUUCCACGUGUGGGAUUUUGUAUGUACCAUAUGAAUAAGGAUCGGCUAACUCCGUGCCGGCCGCCGCGGUAAUACGGAGGGUCCGAGCGUUAUCCGGAUUUAUUGGGUUUAAAGGGAGCGUAGGUGGACUGUUAAGUCAGUUGUGAAAGUUUGGGGCUCAACCGUAGAAUUGCAGUUGAAACUGGCAGUCUUGAGUACAGUAGAGGUGGGUGGAAUUCGUGGUGUAGCGGUGAAAUGCGUAGAUAUCUCGAAGAACUCCGAUUGCGAAGGCAGUUCACUGGACUGAAACUGACACUGAGGCGCGAAAGUGUGGGUAUCAAACAGGAUUAGAUACCCCUGUAGUC
rnacentral:rRNA from 1 species